GGAAGGAUCACAUCAUCAUCAAUGACACAUCCAAGUUGUCCGCAGCAGACAGACGGCCAGACGUGGUCACCCAAGUAGUUCCCAACAAGGGAUUUCAACCUGGGAACUUCGCAAUCCUGGUCCUGCUUCCUACCUCUGAGCCACAGCAGCUUUUGUAUUCCACAAGUCAUUCUGGUCCUGUUCAUCCUGGCAUGUCUAUUACUCUGGGGGCUGUACCUUGACUUUGGCUGUGCUUCACCUGACUCUGAUCAGACAUCAGCAGUGUAUUUAAAAUGUUAUUGACCCCGGCUUCUGACUACGUUUACUCUGGCAUCCCUUGACUUCGGCUAUUCCUCGUUGUUCCUGUCCUUUGGCAUCCUUUGACCUCAGCUAUCCCUUGACGAUUCUGUUGUUUGAGCCCUUGCCUGUCCUGCGACUUGGUACUUCAUCCUGCACAGACCCACAGGCUGGGUGAAUUCUUACCUGACCACCUUGGCCUGUGGCUAUCUGCAAGGGUGAGCAACAUAUCUGCGCUACAGACUCCCAAC